CAGUCGCCACGGUAAUACGUAGGGUGCAAGCGUUAAUCGGAAUUACUGGGCGUAAAGCGCACGCAGGCGGUCUGUCAAGUCAGAUGUGAAAUCCCCGGGCUUAACCUGGGAACUGCAUUUGAAACUGGCAGGCUAGAGUCUUGUAGAGGGGGGUAGAAUUCCAGGUGUAGCGGUGAAAUGCGUAGAGAUCUGGAGGAAUACCGGUGGCGAAGGCGGCCCCUGGACAAAGACUGACGCUCAGGUGCGAAAGCGUGGGGAGCAAACAGGAUUAGAUACCCCGGUAGUCCCUGUCUCUUAUACA
rnacentral:rRNA from 1 species